UGGGGAAUAUUGCACAAUGGAGGGAACUCUGAUGCAGCGACGCCGCGUGAACGAAGAAGGCUUUCGAGUCGUAAAGUUCUUUUAUAUGGGAAGAUAAUGACGGUACCAUAAGAAAAAGCCCCGGCUAACUACGUGCCAGCAGCCGCGGUAAUACGUAGGGGGCUAGCCUUGUCCGGAAUCACUGGGCGUAAAGGGUUCGCAGGCGGAAAUGCAAGUCAGGUGUAAAAGGCAGUAGCUUAACUACUGUAAGCAUUUGAAACUGCAUAUCUUGAGAGGUGUAGAGGUAAGUGGAAUUUUUAGUGUAGCGGUGAAAUGCGUAGAUAUUAAAAAGAAUACCGGUGGCGAAGGCGACUUACUGGGCUCAUUCUGACGCUGAGGAACGAAAGCGUGGGUAGCAAACAGG
rnacentral:rRNA from 1 species